UUUCAGCCUUAGUUGGUGCCUACUUAGUUUGGGCUCUUUUGUGAUAAGGGGUUAUUUUAUGCUAAUUAGCAGGUUUUUUAAGUGAAUUAUUUCUUUUGAAAAAAAUGCAAAACUAGAAAACUUUGUCCAUUUUAUUAAAGAGCAUAAUUUCUAAUUGUAAAAUUGUCAUUUUGUACAUUUUUUGAUGUAAUAUCCUUAGAAAUAUGUAGAAUAAAGUGUAUUCCUCCACUUUUUUUCCCCUGAACAGUCGAGGUGAGGCAAUUGAUUGAGUAUAUUUCCCUUCUUAUUUCAAUAAUAUUCAAUUCAAUUUUUUUCAUGUAAAUAUUGUCAACAUGUUUCUUCUGAGUCAACCACAGUGAAAAGUUCUAACUUGCUUUUAGAAGUCAGUAGAGCAGUGGAAAAUAUAUGUGAUCCAAUUAACAUCUGCACAAUUUCACUUAAAAUUAUGCAAAAUGAAUGUUUUUUAAUGAAAUAUGAAAUUUCUUUUAUUUAUUUAGAUUCUUGUUUCAUUUUUUAAUAUGUUGUGAGCAUACUAAAUACAGACUUGAUAGUACUUUUGACUAAAUGUUCAGAGUGGUCAUAUUAACUUCUUGCCCAAAGAAGUAAGCAUAUUGGUGUUUUCUGAACUAGUCACUUAGAAAAUUAACACUUUAGGCAGUAGCUAUUUAAAGUAUGAAUUGCAUCUUAAAAUCCUUUCCUAAGAGAUUUGGUAUUUGAGUAUACUUUCAGUACCACUCCUACUAUUCAUUUUUCUAAAUUCUUUAGUACAUAUACUUGGUUCAUGUUAAAUUAACAAGAAAGAUGAAUAAAUGCACUGAAUUGCCUUUACCUAGAAAUAAUUUAAUAUUUUACCUUCAGCUUUUAUCAACUGUCAAUAUAAAAGGCAAAUAUUCCACAGAAUGAUGUUGAAAAACUUCUUGGAAGGACACCUUCUAUUAAACUUAUCUCUUGUAAAUUCUCCGAAGUAUCCUUUUGGUAAUAGUCACAGAUGUUUCGAAGUCAAAGAGAAACCUUGACAUUCUAGAGAUGACUGCAUGCAAAUGUUUAAAACUUUUGCAAGAAUAAAGCACACAAGGCUAUCA
rnacentral:lncRNA from 13 species